ensembl:lncRNA
GUGGAGUUUCACAAUGAUCCCUGUGUGUUUCCUCCAGGUCCUCCGGUUUCCUCCCACAUCCCAAGAACAUGUCAGUAGGUGGCUUGGCUACAUAAAUUUCCCCUAGUUGUGAAUGUGUGUGUGUGUGUGUGUGUGUGUGUGUGUGUGUGUGUGUGUGUGUGGUGUCCCAUCUAGGGUAUAUUCCAACCUUGUGUCCAGUGCUCCUGGGAUAGACUUCUGUUGAUUUUAUCAAAACCAAGUUACAAGUGGUAGCCUGUGCAGGCCAAAUCUCACACAAUGGCUGCAUUGAGAGUUCUGGAAGAUUCUGCCGGAGGAAAAUGGAGCUGAUGGACACCUGCACCUGUCGAUGCCAACCAUGGAAAUAAUGCUUCAUGAUUCAUCAGUGGCUUUAUGGCUGACCUCUUAUUUUUCAUUUCCACCUUAAUUGUGUGAUGGUGCGUUAUCAUUUGCCAGGUUCCCUUGACCCCUCUAUAAGGAUCUUUUAGGACUGAAUAAGGCCAGGCUAAGUGUGACCUAGUUGAUUGAGGUGACCCCUGGAGCGUCCGCUUGUUGAUCCUUUAAUUAAAGGUAAUUGAUUUUUCUAUCCUCAGCAUGAGUGUCCAGCACCUGGUGUCGGUGUGGUGUCACGAUGGUGACCUCUGAUGGGUCUACAUCGACUUUGCUGAACAGACUGUGACUUUACAGUUUUGAGAAGUGUUCGCUAGCAUCGCUGAGGGGCUGUGGGUGACAUUUACAGAAGAGGACACACUUUUUAGGGACUUUCUGGGGCAAAUGAUUUUCCAGGAGCCUGUCGCAAUUUUGGCUAAAAGUUCUGCCCUUUAUAUUGUAUAAUGGAGCUACUCCACAGCUCAGGAGUCCAGGACUACCACUAAGGCUUUUUUCUCUGAACUGGAAAAACCCUCUCCGUCAUGGAUGUAUCUUUUAAUAUGAAAUGUUACAAAUUUACAUCGUGUGUCAAUAUCUUUGCAUUUUAUCUCAUCAAUGCCAUGCUGAGGAAGAAAAUAAUGGACUGACUACAUCAAUGUGAUUGUAUCUGUGCUUCAUUAAGAAGAUACAUUUUCAUUUGUACUGAAAAUCACCUGAAUACUAAAUAUAACGCAGUACAUCUUCAACAAGCAGCAGCAGCACCAUAGAUCCUCCCGGUCAUGCUGCCUCAUAGCUAUUUUAAUUGGCUUGCUAGGUUAUAGGGCAACUGGGAAGUUUACCUCAGUAAGUUUUGCUAACGUUAGGAAAAGUUAGUUAGCUACUAUCAACUUCCUGUCUUUAUAAUGACAAAGAUUUUUCUCUUCCUGAUGAAAAACUCUGGGAUCUUUUUCCCACCCAGACGUGAAGAGUCCGUAGGCUUCUGUGCUGGUAAAUGCUUUGAGGUACCCUCCAGAACAGGGGUUGUGUAUAUCAGGAAAACACAAAGUUUUCCACCAGUUUAAGUGGAAUGAGUAGUUUGGGGGAACAUACAUAUGGAUCAGAGUAUACUUGUUUAAAUAACCUUUAUUCUCUUUCAAAGUAGGGUGAAUAAUUGUAGCCAUUUUUAACCUCUAUUUCUGGUCACGUUGCACAGCACAGCCAGAAAUCCUGUCCCAAAUAUUGCAACUACAACAGAAAAAUCAUGUGACUGAAACAGUGUACCAUGUAAGCUCUUAAAGAAACUUUGUUUUCAAGGUGGGGUCUGUGAUUUGGCAAAUAUUUGGCAAGGUUACUCAGGCAGCAACAAGAAAUAUCAGCCUAGAGAAAUAAAAAUAAAAAUGAUUGGACCACCAACAUCCAACCAAUCAGGAGAAGGAAACAUGACUAUUUGACUCUACUUUAUAGCUUGUUGUCAUUGCUAUGUUGCACUGUUUCUAG